GACGAACGCUGGCGGCGUGCUUAACACAUGCAAGUCGAACGGUAAGGCCCUUCGGGGUACACGAGUGGCGAACGGGUGAGUAACACGUGGGUGAUCUGCCCUGCACUUCGGGAUAAGCCUGGGAAACUGGGUCUAAUACCGGAUAGGACCACUGCCUGCAUGGGUGGUGGUGGAAAGCUUUUGCGGUGUGGGAUGGGCCCGCGGCCUAUCAGGUUGUUGGUGGGGUGAUGGCCUACCAAGGCGACGACGGGUAGCCGGCCUGAGAGGGUGACCGGCCAGGCUGGGACUGGGAUACGGCCCAGACUCCUACGGGAGGCAGCAGUGGGGAAUAUUGCACAAUGGGCGCAAGCCUGAUGCAGCGACGCCGCGUGAGGGAUGACGGCCUUCGGGUUGUAAACCUCUUUCAGCACCGACGAAGCGCAAGUGACGGUAGGUGCAGAAGAAGGACCGGCCAACUACGUGCCAGCCGCCGCAGUAA
rnacentral:rRNA from 1 species